UGGGGAAUAUUGGGCAAUGGGCGAAAGCCUGACCCAGUGAGAACACAUGCAUGAUGAAGGCGCGCAGUUUUCUGUAAAGUGCUUUCGGCGACGAGAAAGAUGCCUGUAGUCGUAGUAAGAAGCACCGGCCAACUUCGUGCCAGCAGCCGCGGUAAUACGAAGGGUGCGGGCGUUAUUCGUUUUGAUUGGGUGUAAAGGGUACGUAGGCAAUCGUCGUGGACGACAUCAAAAUAGCAGAGUAUUCCUAUGCUCUGGUGUCACGCCGUAAACGAAUUGUGUUAAAGAGAGGUUGGGUCAAAUUUCUGCGUAGAGGUAGAAUGCCAAGAGACGGGAAUGAAUGGUCGUUGGCGAAGGCUCCCUUCUAUCUUUAACAGACGCUGAGGUACGGAAGCUUAGGUAGCAAACAGGAUUAGAUACCCCCGUAGUCC
rnacentral:rRNA from 1 species